AUAGGGGAGCCGAAGGGAAACCGAGUCUUAACUGGGCGUUAAGUUGCAGGGUAUAGACCCGAAACCCGGUGAUCUAGCCAUGGGCAGGUUGAAGGUUGGGUAACACUAACUGGAGGACCGAACCGACUAAUGUUGAAAAAUUAGCGGAUGACUUGUGGCUGGGGGUGAAAGGCCAAUCAAACCGGGAGAUAGCUGGUUCUCCCCGAAAGCUAUUUAGGUAGCGCCUCGUGAAUUCAUCUCCGGGGGUAGAGCACUGUUUCGGCAAGGGGGUCAUCCCGACUUACCAACCCGAUGCAAACUGCGAAUACCGGAGAAUGUUAUCACGGGAGACACACGGCGGGUGCUAACGUCCGUCGUGAAGAGGGAAACAACCCAGACCGCCAGCUAAGGUCCCAAAGUCAUGGUUAAGUGGGAAACGAUGUGGGAAGGCCCAGACAGCCAGGAUGUUGGCUUAGAAGCAGCCAUCAUUUAAAGAAAGCGUAAUAGCUCACUGGUCGAGUCGGCCUGCGCGGAAGAUGUAACGGGGCUAAACCAUGCACCGAAGCUGCGGCAGCGACGCUGAUGCGUUGUUGGGUAGGGGAGCGUUCUGUAAGCCUGUGAAGGUGUGCUGUGAGGCAUGCUGGAGGUAUCAGAAGUGCGAAUGCUGACAUAAGUAACGAUAAAGCGGGUGAAAAGCCCGCUCGCCGGAAGACCAAGGGUUCCUGUCCAACGUUAAUCGGGGCAGGGUGAGUCGACCCCUAAGGCGAGGCCGAAAGGCGUAGUCGAUGGGAAACAGGUUAAUAUUCCUGUACUUGGUGUUACUGCGAAGGGGGGACGGAGAAGGCUAUGUUGGCCGGGCGACGGUUGUCCCGGUUUAAGCGUGUAGGCUGGUUUUCCAGGCAAAUCCGGAAAACUAAGGCUGAGGCGUGAUGACGAGGCACUACGGUGCUGAAGCAACAAAUGCCCUGCUUCCAGGAAAAGCCUCUAAGCAUCAGGUAACAUCAAAUCGUACCCCAAACCGACACAGGUGGUCAGGUAGAGAAUACCAAGGCGCUUGAGAGAACUCGGGUGAAGGAACUAGGCAAAAUGGUGCCGUAACUUCGGGAGAAGGCACGCUGAUAUGUAGGUGAAGUCCCUCGCGGAUGGAGCUGAAAUCAGUCGAAGAUACCAGCUGGCUGCAACUGUUUAUUAAAAACACAGCACUGUGCAAACACGAAAGUGGACGUAUACGGUGUGACGCCUGCCCGGUGCCGGAAGGUUAAUUGAUGGGGUCAGCGCAAGCGAAGCUCUUGAUCGAAGCCCCGGUAAACGGCGGCCGUAACUAUAACGGUCCUAAGGUAGCGAAAUUCCUUGUCGGGUAAGUUCCGACCUGCACGAAUGGCGUAAUGAUGGCCAGGCUGUCUCCACCCGAGACUCAGUGAAAUUGAACUCGCUGUGAAGAUGCAGUGUACCCGCGGCAAGACGGAAAGACCCCGUGAACCUUUACUAUAGCUUGACACUGAACAUUGAGCCUUGAUGUGUAGGAUAGGUGGGAGGCUUUGAAGUGUGGACGCCAGUCUGCAUGGAGCCGACCUUGAAAUACCACCCUUUAAUGUUUGAUGUUCUAACGUUGACCCGUAAUCCGGGUUGCGGACAGUGUCUGGUGGGUAGUUUGACUGGGGCGGUCUCCUCCUAAAGAGUAACGGAGGAGCACGAAGGUUGGCUAAUCCUGGUCGGACAUCAGGAGGUUAGUGCAAUGGCAUAAGCCAGCUUGACUGCGAGCGUGACGGCGCGAGCAGGUGCGAAAGCAGGUCAUAGUGAUCCGGUGGUUCUGAAUGGAAGGGCCAUCGCUCAACGGAUAAAAGGUACUCCGGGGAUAACAGGCUGAUACCGCCCAAGAGUUCAUAUCGACGGCGGUGUUUGGCACCUCGAUGUCGGCUCAUCACAUCCUGGGGCUGAAGUAGGUCCCAAGGGUAUGGCUGUUCGCCAUUUAAAGUGGUACGCGAGCUGGGUUUAGAACGUCGUGAGACAGUUCGGUCCCUAUCUGCCGUGGGCGCUGGAGAACUGAGGGGGGCUGCUCCUAGUACGAGAGGACCGGAGUGGACGCAUCACUGGUGUUCGGGUUGUCAUGCCAAUGGCACUGCCCGGUAGCUAAAUGCGGAAGAGAUAAGUGCUGAAAGCAUCUAAGCACGAAACUUGCCCCGAGAUGAGUUCUCCCUGACUCCUUGAGAGUCCUGAAGGAACGUUGAAG
rnacentral:rRNA from 1 species